GGAGCCACAGUCCCUGGAAAACAUCAACACUUUGACAGUUUCUUCCAGCCAACCGCUCUGAACAUAACAGUUUCUUCCAGUCAUCUAAUCAGAAAUUAAGUGUGUCUACAAACCAGAGCACGGAAUCUCUUAAUCUCAUUUUGCAGAGCAAUUGUCCAUCAGGACAUCAGUAUUUAGACUAAUAUUGUCCUCUGAAUUUUUCUAAUCUAACCAUUUCAAAAUUAUGAGCUAGGAUAGAAUAAUAAUAGUAUUUUUGGCAGUCACUGUCAGUAGAUGAUUAUUCCUGGAUUCUAUUUCAUUCCUUUACAUUACCAUAGGUAAAGAUCAUGCCUACAUCUGUCUAUAUCAAAAUGUUGCCAGCAGGUGCUUGUCUGCCAUGUUAAGUAUUCUUUGGUACCACGCAAUACUGAGUUUUAGCAAAACAGUAAGUAUUCUUAACUGUGUGUGUGUUACAGAUAGAGUAAAGAGAAUGGUCUUGAAAACAAACAUAAAUUUAAAAAUAAUGCAGUGCUUGGAUUCUGUCAAAACUGCUCAAUGGAAUUUCACUCUUCAGCUUCACUUUUUCUACCAACAAAAUCCAAAAUGGAUGAGAGUCAAAGCAUUUAUGAAUAGUAAAGAAACAUUUAACAGCACAGUGUGAGAUGAUAACUCAUGCCCUAAAACGUAUGUUCCACAAGAAAAAGUAAAAAGGAAUUCAUUUCUCUGCAAGGAGUUACUUUUAAGGCAUUGAGCAAUGCAGAUGAAUGAGAAUAGAUAACUGCUGUUUUUUCAGAGGCAUUUUUUAAAAAAGGAGAAAAUAAAAGAAAAAUUGUCAUCAUUGGAAGAAAAAUUCCUGUCCCAGUUUCAAAUGCCCUGAUAGGUAUUUCAGGCAUGCAAAAGAUGAGUAAUUGUGUCUCGUGCUUUCAAAGCCAGUACUGGGAGAUGUAUAUACUUUCUGUCACAGCAGAGAAGAUAAUCACAAAACUUGAAGGGUACUGUGAACGUUUGAGACAUUGGUAUUCGUAAGUGAUAUAGAUCAAUAAUAUUCUGUAGGUGUGUUUUUCUGAAUCAUCAUGAAUUUCAGUAGACAGAAUGUAAUUUAUUAGUGGAUAAACACAUGUAAAUGGCUCCUGACAAAGCAGAAGAAAACCUUGCAGUUACUUAGCUCAGCAACAGUUGUAGCCUGUGAAAGCUGAGUGGUGGGAAUGAAGAAUUCUUCAAAUGAAAGAGGACAAAAGAAGGAAAAGAAGAAGAAAAAGAAGAAGGAAAAUGAAAGGGAAAGCAAAAGGGAAAGGAAAAGGGAGAGGGAAAGAAAAAAGAGAACGAAAAAGAGAAAAAGAAAGAAAAAAAAAGAGAAAAAAAAAAGAGAAAGAAGGAAAGAGAAAGAAGGAAAGGAAGAAAAGAGAAAGAAGGAAAGGAAGAAAAGAGAAAGAAGGAAAGGAAGAAAGAAAGGAGGCCGGAAAGGAGAAGAAAAGGAUGAAAGGAGGAAAGGGAAGGGAAGUAAAAAGGAAAAAGGAAGAAGAGGGCAGAGGAAGGGUGGAGCAGGGAGGAGUUAGUUUUAUUAACUCAUUGAAUAAGAACAUUUCCUUAAGGAAAUAUCUAUGGAAACAUAGCCAGAACAUCUCUGUAUUACUCCUUAUUGGAAAAUUUAACAGCUCCUUAGGGACAGUUUGGAGUGUGAAAAUUAGGAAUCUGUCACUAUGCUUUGCAUAGUGUUUGAACAGUUACUAAGUACUUAGAGAAACUUUUAUGGAAUGCCUGCAGAAGCCUGUCUUAUUAUUUCUCAACUGCUCUCUGCAGUUUCUGACAGAUUGAAAAUGCUACUGAUUACAGAAUAAUCCCAACUUAAGAGAAGAUCUAGUAGUAGGAUAAAACGUCCAUAAAAAAUCCCUUAAUACAGAUAUGUGAAGUGAAACCAAAAACCAUGUAUCAAAAAGGAAAAUAUAGUUAUUGUUAUCACAUCUGUCAAAGGAAUUACCCUGUUUCAGUGAAACUCUUUUGCAGUAGUUCCUGUAAUAAAGGAUCUAAAGGAUGGCUCCAGGAAGAGAUCAACUUGUUAACAGAACACCGUGUAUUGACUGUGUUCAAAAAGUCUGUAUAUUCUGCAAAUCCCCAUUGUAACACACCCUCUGCUAUUGUAAGAACAGUAGUUCCUGUGGUGAGUAUUUGACUCCACUAUGAACUGUAUCUUUUGCACUACAAGACUUCAAAGUUAGCCACUUCAGAGAAAAGAAAUGGAAAUACUUUCCCUUUAACUCUGUGCUUGACUGUUUAAUGAAGAGUGCUGUCUUUAAAAGGUCAGUGAAGAAAUAGAGGCAGAAAGUGUCUGCUUUAUCUAACAAGAUAAAGCCUGUCUUUUUAAUAUUUAAAAAUAUUUAACAAGUUUAUUCUGGUGAUAUUGCAAGUAUAAACCAAUCUUUCCAUAAAUAAGUAGUAGCUCAAGCCUUUCAUCAUUUACAUUAUGUUGGAAUUUGAGCAACCCUGCUGAAGGCCACAAUCAUGUUGGGCUGCCUGAUACUACAUUUAAGCCUGGGCUUCCAGCUUCUGUAGUAUUUUCCUAAACCUACAGAAGAAAAAGAGGUGCUUUGUUUGCUCCUUCAUGCUCUUCCCCUUCUCUACAAAAGAAAGGAUUGGGGAUUAUCUAGAUUUAGUUUGCUGUGGUUCAGUACUCAGCAAAAGUGGGCAUUUGCUGGGUGCUUGACCUUUGCCUUGUCAUUUUCUAAUAGAAAAAUAAAGAAAGCAUAAGGAGGACAUUUAUGUAGGAGCUGUAAACUGUUGGCUUGCGCUUUUUAUACAUGUAUUUAACAUUCUUGUUUUACAACCUUAACUCUCCCAAAAGAAUUUUUAACAAUUACUAGAUGUGAGCAGUUGCCACGUGCUGUUUGUGAUGGAAGGUGGAAAAUGGCUACAGAAAAAUGUUCUUGUUAAUGAAGGAUGGACACUGAGCUCUAUGUCAACAAACAUCUGGGGCAAGUUUGACAAAUCUUUUUAGAAACCCAAAGUUCUAAAAAUUAGAGCACCACUCACAGAAUCACAGAAUCGUAUGGAUUGGAAGGGACCUCUGGAGAUCGUCUAGUUCAGCUCCUGCUAAAGCAGAUUCCCUCCAGUAGGUUACAAAGGAAAGUGUCCAGGUUUCCUUCAUGAGGACAGGCAUCCUGAAACUCUUCCUAAAGGUGCACAAGAACCAUGCAAAUACAGCGUCAAGUUUUCUACGAGCAAGGAGGGGCAUGAGUCACUACACUGAAGGUGGAAUGAUGUAUGAUAUAAAAAGAAAGCUCAGAUAAGAUGAGAGAAGUUCUAACAGCAGAUUCAAAGGAAGAAUUUGUAAAGAGAAGUGAUACUUAGCUCAUAGAAGAGGGCAGUUUUAUGAAUUGAUCACCACAUUGCAAAUAACAUUUUCCCAUGUAAAUGUUUCUAUCUUUGUCUUAUAAGAACACGUAACUUUCAGAAUCUUUUGUGAUUGGUCUUAGAGCAGGUUUCAUUUCCAUUCCACCUUUGAGCAUAGUCCACACACAACUCUUCAAGAUAAUGUGGUUUUGCUCACAUAGUAAUUAAUAAAAAAAAAAACCUUUUAAUUUCAUCUUUCCUGGUACUGUUUUCUUUUUUUCUUCAUAAAAAAAUUCCUCUACCUUUCAGUUAUCUAAAAAGUUAGGUAAAAAAUCAGUUCUGAAUCUAAAUAGGUUUUCCUAAGGGAGAUUCCAGCCACAUAUAACAACUUUAUUUUUAUCUUCUCUAUGUGCGCAGUGAAGACUGAAAUCUAAAGAAUGACAAAGAAAUACAAUCCCGUAACAUUUGUAAUCAUAGUUAUUGAAAGGCUAUUGAAAGGCUUAUACAAUGUACAAGAACCAGUUUUCAUAAGGUAGUUAUUUCUGUAACCUCUCCUCACUAAAACUCAUUUUUAAUAUAGGCCAUGCAACUUGCGUUACCCAGUGAAUUCUGGGACAGGACCUUAUAUUUACCACUAUCAUGCUAAUAAAUAUUGCUUGCAAUAAAUAUAUGUACUUUCUUCAUUGUCCCCCUCAGCUAUCUAAAUUGUAGCAAAUUGUGUAUAAAUCAAAUAUAAGAUAUACAUUUUUGGGACAUGGAGAACUGACACAAA